GACAGUCAGAAUGAGUGUCAGUUCAAAAAGUCAGCUAACAGACAUUCAAUGCUUCAGCUGUGUUGUGCAGUCCUUUAGUGAAUGCAUGGAAGAGUUAAAAACAAGUUCUAUAACUGGAUAUUCAUUAGAAUAUUUUUGCCGAAAAUGGGAAAAAUCAAGCAAGGUCUAUCAAUACCGGAAACUUGCCGGCUUUCUUGAGCAUCACGAAAGUUGUCAUACGGAUGAACCAAUUCGACUCUAUUGCAGGAAGUGCGUUGCUUUGUUUGAUCAACCAGGACUGGCAGAAAGACACGCUAAACAAAACUCGGUUGCGCGAAGCUCAGAUCAGCAGUCUUAUUUUUGUUCUCAGUGCGCAAAUACUACUUUCACAAGCAUGGAACUUUUAAGAAAGCACGCAAACAACAAACAUGAUGUGACGUUUUGUCGAACAAUCUAUGAUUAUGAGGAUUUCCUUGUGCUGGGAACUGCUCGCAGAGUGAGGCCGUGCUUAUGGAAGCAGAAACAAGACAACAGCAUCCGACUAUGGACAUGGAGUGGUGUUGUUUUCACUCCUUUGGCUGGCUGCUCGGUUCAGAAACUAGCAUUUGGCUGCAACUACAUUCCUGAGUGGCCUUACCAAGAAUCAUACUCUUGUGGAAUUUGCAAAAAACUCAGCAAACAAAGAAAGGACAUCGUUUUACAUCUAAAAUUCAAACACUCCAUCACUUCUCCGGAUAAGAGGAUCGAAACUGGUCCGGGAAAAGACAAGAAAGAAAAGGAAAAAGAGGAAGGCUCACUUUUAUGCGAAGUAGCUGAAUCGGAGACUGC